GUGUCUCCCUGGAUCCCAGGGAGGGGUCCCAGCGCCCCACCCACCAGAAGAGAAGGCAAGCUGUCGGGCAAGAGCCCUAAGAGGACAGCCGGGGGUCGCGCUGAAGCAGCGCAGGUAACAGAUGGCUGGACUUACGGAAAGAGCUGCGGCAAACACCCCGGGGCUGAGCUGGAUCAAGCUGGUUUGAAGGCCAUCCCCUUCCAGGAACCGGAGGGACAGAGCAGCUGAGUAAUUCUGUUUUCUUGUCAUCUGUUAACACUGCACCAUCUGCCAGCUCCACUCCCCGGGCUCCUACCGCUCCCUGAGAGGCCUGCCUGGGGGAGGCCGCUGUGUCCCGGAGGCUGGACCUCCAGGCCCCCCUCACCAAGGAACUCCAAAGACCCGCACGAAGCUCAUUUCUUCUGCUCAGUCCCAACAGCGGCGGGCUAGAAUUACAGGGAUAAGUCCAGUCUUCGAGCCUCCACACCUCCGCCGGGGAGACCGCGAUGCUUCAGAGCUGUGAGGCUGAAGAAACUGAGGCUCAGAGACAAAGAGGAUCUCUAGUCCCUUCUCCAUUUAUUCCACCGUUCACUCACGUAUUUAUUCUCCUCUCUUACUCUUCCUGGGGUCAUUCCCUCAGUUGAGCAUUCACUCAACAAACACAUGUGGUCACUCAGUGAAAACCCAUGGAGUACCAACUCAGUACCUGGGCAAGUCCAGAAAACACCAACAACUGGUAAACCCCGGCCCACCCUGGAGGGGCACAAACCAGUAGACUCUGACUUAAAAGGGACCAAAGUAUGGCUCCAUCCGCAGCCUUUCAGGCUGCCAGCCUGCACCCUUUCCCUCCUCCUUCCCAGCAACAACCCUGGGCAGCUGAUGAAGCCCUUUCAUUAGCAUUUUAAAAUUUAAUCCCAGCGAAGCCUCCAGCGGUUAGGUAUUAUGUGAGCCUUCCCCAGCCUCUUGCUAACGUGGCCCCAAAAGGGUAAGUGGUUGCCCAAAAUCACCCCGCUGGUGGGGGGCAGAAUAGCAGGACCCAGGCCCUUGACAUUGCACCACGGCUGCGGCUGCACUCCUGGGUGCUGUGGGGGUCCAGAGCGUGGGCCUGGGCUGUGGCCCUACACUUCCUCUUCUACCAUUUGUCCUAACUAGCCUUGUGGCCUCCCACUCCCACCCCCCAUGCCGAUCCUUCCCUAAUGUUCCCUCCUCCUGUUCCGUUCUGCCUUCCUGCUCCACUUAUUAAAUGU